rnacentral:rRNA from 1 species
ACCGUGCUAAGGUAGCGAAAUCACUUGUCUUUUAAAUGAGGACCUGUAUGAAUGGUGGAACGAGGGCUUAACUGUCUCCUUUUUCAAGUCAGUGAAAUUGAUCUGCCCGUGCAGAAGCGGACAUAAAUAUACAAGACGAGAAGACCCUUUGGAGCUUAAGACAUACAGUCAACUGUGUUAAAAGUUCUAAUCAAAAAAAUUAAACAAAACAAUAACUGACUCCGCGUCUUCGGUUGGGGCGACCGCGGGGGAAAACAAAGCCCCCACGUAGAAUGGGACACUCCCUAAAACCAAGAGAAACAUCUCUAAGUCACAGAACCUCUGACUAAAAGAUCCGGCUCAUGCCGAUCGACGAACCAAGUUACCCUAGGGAUAACAGCGCAAUCCCCUCCAAGAGCCCGUAUCAACAAGGGGGUUUACGACCUCGAUGUUGGAUCAGGACAUCCUAAUGGUG